rnacentral:rRNA from 1 species
UACGGAGGGGGCUAGCGUUGUUCGGAAUUACUGGGCGUAAAGCGCACGUAGGCGGCUUUGUAAGUUAGAGGUGAAAGCCCGGGGCUCAACUCCGGAAUUGCCUUUAAGACUGCAUCGCUAGAAUUGUGGAGAGGUAAGUGGAAUUCCGAGUGUAGAGGUGAAAUUCGUAGAUAUUCGGAAGAACACCAGUGGCGAAGGCGGCGAUCUGGGAAGAUAC